GUUCCUCACAAAAUGGCGGUCAGUCAGCGUAGAUACGUUAAAGGAAUUAUUGGAUUUCCUCUCCCAAACCCCGACCAGUCAUAAAACAACAUUGAUUAAAACGUUGUUCGGAACGACACAAUGUCAUGUGUACAACAUCUAAAGACCCGCAUCACUAUCAUGGGAGCUUUGCCGUUUCUAAAAGGACGUAUUUCGGGGGUUUUGGAGACUUGUUUUAUUCCCCGCGCCCAUACUGCUAAACAAGGAUGAGGGCACGAUUUGCUGGUUGUGACUGACUCAGAUAAGGUCUGAGGCCGGUAACAUCAACAGUGACGACAAACCCAGCCUGCCUCUCUCCUUCCACACUGAGUCCAAACCUACAGUCACUGGGUCCUGAUUGUGACAGUGGAGCCCAGUUUGCUCUGCAGGAUCCAGAGAUGUCAUCAGUGAAUCUGGAAGACUGCAGUCAAACACUGGAACUGAAUGUCAACAUUAAAGAUGAAGAAGAGGAGGAGAAGAUUGGGACAUCUGUUAAUCAUGGAGACCAUGUUGACACAUUCUCUACAUCCAGAGAGCAACAGCAGGAAGAUCACAGAGCUAAGAGGUCUCAUCACUGCCCACAUUGUGAGGAGAUUUUCCCAUUUCUAUCAGAGCU